rnacentral:rRNA from 1 species
GCGCACCAGUCGCGAAAACUUCACAAUGUGCGAAAGCACGAUGAGGGAAUCCCAAGUGCUUGCUCGUAAGAGUAAGCUGUUUCUCUGUCUAAAACGCAGAGAGAGUAAGGGCUGGGUAAGACGGGUGCCAGCCGCCGCGGUAAUACCUGCAGCUCGAGUGGUGGCCGCUAUUAUUGGGCCUAAAACGUCCGUAGCCGGUUUAUUAAAUGCCUGGGUAAAUCGGACCGCUUAACGGUUCGAAUUCCGGGUAGACUGAUAAACUUGAGACCGGGAGAAGCUAGAGGUACUCCUGGGGUAGAGGUGAAAUUCUGUAAUCCUAGGGGGACCACCAGUGGCGAAGGCGUCUAGCUAGAACGGGUCUGACGGUGAGGGACGAAGCCCUGGGGCGCAAACGGGGAUUAGAUACCCCCGUAGU